rnacentral:rRNA from 1 species
GGGGGGAAGGCUGCGGUCAGAUGAGCCACGCCGCGUGAUGAUGAAGGCCUUAGGGUUGUAAAGCUCUUUUGUCCGGGAAGAUAAUGACUGUACCGGAAGAAAAGCCCGGCUAACUUCGUGCCAGCAGCCGCGGUAAUAUAUA